rnacentral:tRNA from 1 species
GAGGGUACAGCUCAGUGGUAGAGCAUGUGCUUAGCAUGCAUGAGGUCCUGGGUUCAAUCCCCCAGUACCUCCA